CAAAAACAAACAAAAA
rnacentral:sRNA from 1 species